rnacentral:misc_RNA from 1 species
AUCUGUCCGGGUAUCAAAACAAACUCUGGCCCGCCGCCACGUGCUUGAAGCCUGACAGGCGGUGAGUGGGAAGCCGACGUGUGUGGUAAAGUGAAGGAAGAAACAUAGAGUAAGAAGUAAGGAUAAACAGAGAACCUGAGGAUCAAUACAGCUCACAGUAGUGUCAUGUCUGACUCAAGCAGUUCAGAUGGGGAGGAGUCGAGGUUUAAGGAAAUCUGUGAUCCUACACUGUGGAAGACAGCAUCCAGGAGAGAUAAGGCGGACACUGAUCUUCCAAAGCAGGCUGCCAACCCUCAACACCGCAAUGAGUUCAGCGGGAGGCAGUCCUUCGUGUUGCUGGAAAAGAUCAAGGCGUCACUUGCUGCCAGUCAGACUAAGAGUGGCAGUCCAUGGAGGGACUGUGAUGAUUCAGGAUCACACAAGAAGGGAUCUCGGACAGUUGAUGUGAGCCGAAGCAAUGUGGCAGCUCCCUCCACACUCUCCUCUUACCUUGCCAAGCAGCUUGCCGCCAGACUGGAUGGGAGUGUGGAAUUUUACUCCAACCAAGACAAUUCUUCACCACAAAGCCAGGAUUGUGGCAGCACCAACCAUCAAAGCUUCCACCUCCUGAAGAAUGUUUCACUCAUUCACCAGGAGAGCGAAACUCUCAGUGAUACACAGAAGAGGAAAAGGAAGAGAGUCAAGGUUCCAAAGAAACUUGCCUACUAUGUCAGCUCAGAUGAGGAGGAUCUGAAGACCAAGUGUAGUUCAGUGGCAGUAUCUCCUGAGUGGAUCCAGACAGGGAGUGAGUCUUACCCUCGGCCUCAUCCCAAGAAUGUGAGAUACUUAGAUGAGUACAAAGUGAAGGAACACAGGCCAGAUGGAAGCAUUGUAGCUGUACCAUGCUCUGCAUUGGAUUCCACUGACACUGCUAAAGCUGGCAGUGAAAGAAAGAAAAAGAAAUCCAAGAAAAAUGUGUCUGAAAAUAAAAGUGAAGCUUUAGUGUGUAAAAAGGAACAAGUUAGUGGGAGUUUUCAAAAUGGUUUUAACAAUAUUCACGAAAACUUGAUUUCUGAAGUAAAAACACAAAGAAAACAGACAAGGAAGAGAGGUAAAAAGAAGAAAAAGAAAGAUGAUAGUGAAAUUAGUACUCUGUAAAUCAAAAAGAUUGUUUAGGUGGAAGAAACUGAUGAUGUUCUUCCUGUCUAGUCAGUAUUUUGUUUCCUCCCAUACAUCCUUGCAGUGUGAGUGUUAACUUAACAAAAACUACAUAAUGAACACUGACCAGUACCUAUACGAUUAAGCUUAAGGAUCACAUUCUGUCCAUGUGGAAUUUAAGGCUAUGUCCGCAUUGGAAGUGAGAAAGUGGACGAAAGCGAGAGCAAGAAACUUUAAUACAUGACAACUAGUGGAGGUGGCUGCACUGGCAGUGGCCAGGGGAUGGCUUCCUCAUGGGUUGAAAGAAUUAUUGAGUCCUGAUAAAACUAAUAGAGGAGGAGGAGGAAGACCAGAAGUGUGACCCCCUACAAAGACCACCACUAGGACCUGGAACCCAAAGAGAGGCAGCAGCACGUCCCAGCCCUGGUCAGGUCAGCCACGCUCGUCCUUGCCCUGACUUGGCCUCAGGAUCCAGCAGAUGGUAAUCUGAUUGGCAGUGGAAGGGAGCAGAGGAGGUUCAUGGCUCCUCACCUCGGACUAACCCGUACUUGUCCGUGGCCUGGAUUGAAUGGAGUUUCUUGGCCCCUUAACUACAAGGGUCUGCAUGUGUUGGAUUGGUGCUGCCUCCAGUGUGUUGGUGCUGCUGCUUUGAAGAUUCGUUGUUGCUGACAUGCUUGUUGAAUCUAUACUUAAUGUCAUCCUUGUGUGUCAGACUUGUGGACUUGCUGUGAUGCAGGUUAAUAAGCUUCCAGUGUUAAGAGUUCUGAGGACUCCCAAAUAUAUAUAUAUAUUUAU